rnacentral:rRNA from 1 species
GACGAACGCUGGCGGCGUGCCUAAUACAUGCCAGUCGAACGCACAGUUUAUACCGUAGCUUGCUACACCAUAGACUCUGACUUGCGAACGGGUGAGUAACGCGUAGGUAACCUGCCUGGUAGCGGGGGAUAACUACUGGAAACGAUAGCUAAUACCGCAUAAUAUUGAUUAUUCCAUGAUAAUAGAUUGAAAUAUGCUAUUUCAUCACUACCAGAUCGACCUGCGAUGUAUUAGCUAGUAGGUCAGGUAACGGCUCACCCAGGCCACGAUACAUAGCCGACCUGAGAGGGUGAUCGGCCACACUGGGACUGAGACACGGCCCAGACUCCUACGGGAGGCAGCAGUAGGGAAUCUUCGGCAAUGGACGAAAGUCUGACCGAGCAACGCCGCGUGAGUGAAGAAGGUCUUCGGAUCGUAAAGCUCUGUUGUAAGAGAAGAACGAGUGUGAGAGUGGAAAGUCCACACUGUAACGGAAUCUUACAAGAAAGGAACGCCUAACUACGU